rnacentral:sRNA from 1 species
GAUGAUGAAUGCUAUGAAAGAUGGAUGAAACUAGACUCAAAGUGGUGAAAACAGGAUGUGUAAAACAUGCAAAUUAUAGACAUAUCAACUCCCCCAAACUUAGUCUUUGCUUGCCCUCAAGCAAACAAGUAGACAUAAGCUGAAGGAGAGGUUUGAAGGUGGGGAU